UACGUAGGGUGCAAGCGUUAAUCGGAAUUACUGGGCGUAAAGCGUGCGCAGGCGGUUUGUAAGACUGUCGUGAAAUCCCCGGGCUUACACUGGGAAUGCGAUGGUGACUGGCAAGGCUGGAGUCUGGCAGAGGGGGGGUAGAAUUCCGACGUGUAGCAGUGAAAUGACGUGAGAGAUGUGGAGGAACACCGGAUGGCGCAAGGCAGCCCCCCUGGGGAUCGAA
rnacentral:rRNA from 1 species